rnacentral:tRNA from 1 species
GAGGGUAUAGCUCAGUGGUAGAGUGCAUGCCUAGCAUGCAUGAGGUCCUGGGCUCAAUCCCCAGUACUGCCA